CAGUUCGGACUGCAGUCUGCAACUCGACUGCACGAAGCUGGAAUCGCUAGUAAUCGCGGAUCAGCACGCCGCGGUGAAUACGUUCCCGGGCCUUGUACACACCGCCCGUCACACCAUGGAAGUCUGCAAUGCCCGAAGCCGGUGGCCUAACCACUUAUGUGGAAGGGAGCCGUCUAAGGCAGGGCAGAUGACUGGGGUGAAGUCGUAACAAGGUAUC
rnacentral:rRNA from 1 species